rnacentral:tRNA from 1 species
GAGGUUGUGGCUCAGAGGUAGAGCCCUUGCCUAGCAUGAGUGAGGACCUGGGUUCAAUCCUCAGCACCACA